CAGCUCGUCCUCCGGGAUGGUGGGGACACUGUUGGGACCGCCUCUGCUAAAGAGGAGGAAGGAAUGGGCAACGGUAGGUCAGCAUGCCCCGAAUUAUCCGGGCUACACGCGGGCUACAAUGGGUGGGACAAUGGGUAUCGACACCGAAAGGUGAAGGCAAUCUCCUAAACCCAUCCUUAGUUCGGAUUGUGGGCUGCAACUCGCCCACAUGAAGCUGGAAUCUGUAGUAAUCGUGUCUCAACAUGGCACGGUGAAUAUGUCCCUGUCCUUGCACAA
rnacentral:rRNA from 1 species